AAUUUUCCCUCUCUUUCCUGUAAGGCCAAGCUGAUUUCUCAUCGCAGACUCCAUAGACAACGCCUUCAGAAAGGAACAACAGGUUCAGAAUGUGUCCGUCUUUCAGGUAAAUUAUCUGAACUGAAAGAUUUAGAAAUGCUUACAUUUGACCUUCUUGGAGAAUGCCCCUCCAACAUGUUUGCUUUUGAGUUUGAUUAUUACCUGCAAAAUCAUAAGUAGCAAAAUAAGUAUUGGAUAAGAAGUGAACUGCGAUGUGUUGUGUGUUAUGGAUACUAAUAAAAUCUGCUGUACCUGAGACUUCUUGUUGAUAUAAACACAGACACGCUUAGUUCGCUGCACUCCUGCAAGUUUUUUAGCACAAGGAAGAAGAGUUAAGCUCUCUGUCUUAUCUCACUGGACUCUUCAUUUGAUUAGAGUAUCACAUACAGAAGAGAAUUUACCAUUUCGUGCGCAUUGCAUCAGUUCACCUUCAAUUGGAAUAUUUGGCUCUUCCAGUCUAAACUGAAAAUUUGCAGGCCAAUGAGAGUCAGAGAAGCUUCUCUCGAAAGGUGUAAUAGCUGCGUUUUUCCUUGCUUCCUUUGGCUGCCUCGCCUUCAAAGCCGCUUCUCCUCUCAAAGCUAGG
rnacentral:lncRNA from 1 species